CUUGGCUGAAGUUAGCCCUUGGCAGUCCUAUGAUGAGUAGGAUUUUGGCAGACAUAAACCCGGGAGAGGUGAAGAGGUGAUUGCAGUCAGAGAGGAUGUUGCGAGCAAAGGUGCGAACUUUGGAAAAGGCAGGAGUCCAGAAUGGCUGAGUGACCUGCCCCCCCACCCCAGCACUGUUCUCAUCAUCGCUGUCAUCAGCGAUGAUAAAAGCUGGUCUUUUUUACACUUGAUAGUUCCCAAAGCACUUACUGAAAGUCACCUCAGUUCUGUGAGGUUGGACCUCUUGUCAAUUCUGUAGAUGAAGAAACACAAAGUCCUCGUUCUUUUGUCUGGACGUGAAAAACAAACAGAAAGCCAUCAGGAAGCUAUUUGGGCAGCAGUGUGGACCGCUCCUCCUCGGGGGGCACCCUUAUCUCUGCUCCCAGCUGCUGAAAAACAAACCCUCACCAGAGGGGUAAGGGUGAACUACGGACAAAUGAGCUGUCACUUUGGGGGACUGGGUUGCACUCAAACUUGGAAAAGUCACAAAACAAACCCCAGGGUUUGAGCGGAGCCAUGGGGAAAGUGUUCCACUCGGAGCGGGAUCUGUGAUACUGUGAUUUACAAUAAGAAGUAUAUUCGACCCCAUUCCUGGAACAGAGCUACGAAACCCUUGGAAUUUCCUGAAGGAAAGCGGAAAGAGGUGUCUUCUGUUAUGUUAAUGAGAGCACGUGCAAAUGAUGUCCCAUUGGCAGAUUGGAAGUUGCCUGUCCGCACCGUCCAGGCUGGGGAGGCUGGGAAGGAGGGAGUUGAGUAUAUAGCCUGAUGGUCAAAGGUCCAGGCUCUGAGGUCAGACUACGUGGGGUUGAAUUCUGGCUCUGCAAGUUACCAGCUGGUUGACAUUAAGCAAGUUAUUCAACGUCUCUGAGCUUCAGGUAAUUAAAGUCCUUACUGGAUCGGAUUGUGUGGGCCUGACUCGAAAGAAGUCAUGAGAGGCGCCUGGGUGGCUCAGUUGUUAAGCAUCUGUCUUUGGCUCAGGUCAUGAUCCCAGGAUCCUGGGAUCGACGAGGCCCACAUCGGGCUCCCUGCUUGGCGGGAGGCCUGCUUCUCCCUCUCCCACUCCCCCUGCUUGUGUUUCCUCUCUCGCUGUGUCUCUCUCUGUCAAAUAAAUAAAUAACAUCUUUAAAAAAAAAAAGAAAGAAAGAAGUCGUGAAAGAAUGCAGCGCAUUUCCAGGUACAAAUUACGUGCUUCACUAGUGAUAGGCACUCAUGCAAUAAACAUUAUUGUGUUUUCUAGAUCACAGCGUAUCUGUAGAGCAGAGACAAAUGAUUUAACUGCUACUCGGUGAAACAGCUCUUCCUUCUUCUGGUAAAUCCCUGCCCCACCCUUUCCUCCCAGGGUCCCUUCAGUGACUCACCCCUCAGGUAUUCUCUCUUCUCUCUCCCAGACAAAUGUCCUGAGGGAGGGAUUGAGGAAGUCAGUUGUGUCCCUGCCUGUGUAGUCUUGGGGGGAGAGAACUUUAGUCCUGGGUUUCUAGCUUCUCAGCUGAAAGGUACUUGAGUUGUGUGCCCGACACAGAGGUGCUCCCCGUUGUUGACUGGAGGAUGGGCUUUGGGCCUGAGGCAGCUACUUUUGGUGCCCCGGGCCACAUGUCCUUGGCCACUUUUGAUUUGAGCUGUGGUUGCUCGGAGGGUCCCAUAACCCUGCCAGUGCCUCAUGCAACAGGCCUGUCUCUGCCUCAGUUAACAGAAGUGUGGUGAGAAGAGUGGAGGUAAUGCUGAGGGCAGUUCUUAUGCAAGAAAGGACACAGGCCAGUGCCCCAGCCUCCUGUCCUUUGAGGGUCAGUUCUGAGGUGCGUUCUACAGUUCCACACAGGGUCUCUGGCUGGACUUGAUGAGGGAACAGAAGGCUAGCUGAGGACAAAGUGGAAGCUGACACCCUACACCCCCCCCCCCCUUGGGAUAUAUGUGACAUUCCUCAGGCACUCCGGGCUGCCCUAAAGGAAAAACAAAUGGUUAACUGAUAGAGAUUACAGUCCUGCAGGACAGGAGUCUCCCUCAGUUUACAAAUGUCCUAGUGAUUUAAAAGAAAGAAGCUUUCUUAUCAAUAGCCUAACUUCCAGAGACCCAUAACUCAGUUUCCUAAAGCCCUAGAAUCACCCUCCCCUCCAUAAAAUUAAGGGAUGCUGAGGCAGAAGGAAAUGUAAAUAAAAUUGUAUUUCUUUUAAACCUAAAGCCCAUUGACAAGGACGUGUGAUAGGAGGAAUGUAACAUUCCUCCAGGAAACUCCCAGCUGUCUUCAUGUUAGUGCCUUGGCUUGACAAUAACCAGGCCUCUAGUAUCCUGAGAGUCUUUAGCAUAUGACAGUCCUUCUGGACACCCCCUUUUUCCUCACCUCCCGAACUCCUGAGUAUAUUAUCAGCCACCCCUCACAACCCCAGGGGCAGCAGCUCUUUCUGCCCACGGGUCCUCUCCCUGUGGUUUUUUUUUUUUUUUUAAGAUUUUAUUUAUUGAGAGAGAGAAUGAGAUAGAGCAUGAGGGGGAGAGGGUCAGAGGGAGAAGCAGGCUCCCUGCCGAGCAGGGAGCCCAAUGUGGGACUCGAUCCUGGGACUCCAGGAUCAUGAUCUGAGCCGAAGGCAGCUGCCCAACCAACUGAGCCACCCAGGCGCCCUCCCUGUGCUUUAAUAAACAUUUUGCACCAAACACAUCUCAAGAAUUCUUUCUUGGUUGUCAGCUCCGGACCUCACCCCACCGAACCUCUCACGUAUUCUAAAACUUCAUCAGACUAAGCUCCGUAUCAGUAGCUAGUUCAAUAUGCACUUGUCGAUUGGCCUUUUCUCCUUCCCUGACUCACAUUGCCCCCCCCCCCCCCCCUCCUGGCUCCUGGGACUACCCUGCAGGAAGUCUCCAGUUCUGGUCUCAGGCACUGUUUUCAGGAGAACACAAUCCAAGCCCU